rnacentral:rRNA from 1 species
GUUUAUCGUACCUUGUUGCUUCGGCGGGCCCGCCGUCAUGGCCGCCGGGGGGCACUCGCCCCCGGGCCCGCGCCCGCCGAAGACACCAUUGAACUCUGUCUGAAGAUUGCAG